rnacentral:tRNA from 1 species
ACCGGGGUGGCGCAGAGGAAGCGCGCGGGGCUCAUAACUCCGAGGUCAUUGGUUCAAACCCAAUCUCCGGUAUCA